CCUGGUGGGGCUGAAAUGGACCGGGCAGCCCUUGGAUGGUUUCCCCAGAGGAGUCUGUGCGAGGCCACAGCAGGAUCCAGCGAUGGCCCGGGCCCGGGGCUCUCAGCCCCGCGCUCCACCUCAUCGGCCACUUUGCGGAGGGUCCUUAGGCCCCAGUGCAGGCCUGCACAAACAUCAGGGCACUGUGACUCCAUCAGGCCUUGCUCAGGGCCUGCUCCCAAGAGGCUCAGCUCGGCGGAACAAAAUCAGCCAGACUUGCUGAUGGCCACCACCACAACCACUUCCUCUGCGAGUCCUGCGUCUUCCUACUCAGCUCUGUCUCCCAGCCGGCACCACUCCAUCCGUCCCGCGUUCUCUCCGCAACGCCAUUGAGUCACGGGCUACAUCUCCCUCACUCCAGCGGCUUGCCACAUUUUUACUGAGUUCUUUUUAUUUUUUGUUCGUUUCAUUUGAAAGGGAAGAGAGAGAGAGAGAGAGAGAGAGAGAGAGAGAGAGAGAGAGAGAGAUGGAGAAAUAGCCUUCAUUCACUGGUUCACUCUCCAAAUGGCUACAACACCCAGGGUGGGCCAGGCUGAAGCCAGGAGCCUGGAGCUCCAUCCAGAUCUCCCAGAUGGGUAGGAGAAGCCCAAGGACUUAAGUCAUCAUCACCUUCUGCCGCCGCAGGGUGCAUGUUAACAGGAAGCUGGAAUGAGGAGUGGAGCUAGGAUGUGAACCCAGGCCCUCCAGUAUCGGCUGCGGGUGUCCCAGGUGAGAACUUCACUGCACCAGCUACCCACCUCUCCCUCACUCCAGUAUCUUGCCACCACACACCGGUCCUCACCAUCCUGUCCACCUGCCCCCCUGUCCCAGGUGUCUGUCUGUCCCCCUUGCAGCCAGCCUCAUUCUUGGGCUCUGGGUCCCAGCAACUUAAGCUCAAGGUCAGCUUGCCCAUUGGAGUUUUUGCAAUCGUGGGACUUUUUCGUAUCGGUGCUUUCCAGAAGAGUACCCACUUGCUACCUGUGGCUAUUGAGCACUUAAAAUGGCUAGCAAGACCAAGGAACGGAAUUAUUUGGUUCUAUCUC
rnacentral:lncRNA from 1 species